rnacentral:rRNA from 1 species
GAUGAACGCUAGCUACAGGCUUAACACAUGCAAGUCGAGGGGAAACGACAUCGAAGGCUUGCUUUUGAUGGGCGUCGACCGGCGCACGGGUGAGUAACGCGUAUCCAACCUGCCCAUCACUUGGGAAUAACCUUGCGAAAGUAAGACUAAUACCCAAUGAUAUCCCACGAAGGCAUCGGAAUGGGAUUAAAGAUUUAUCGGUGAUGGAUGGGGAUGCGUCUGAUUAGCUUGUUGGCGGGGUAACGGCCCACCAAGGCAACGAUCAGUAGGGGUUCUGAGAGGAAGGUCCCCCACAUUGGAACUGAGACACGGUCCAAACUCCUACGGGAGGCAGCAGUGAGGAAUAUUGGUCAAUGGGCGAGAGCCUGAACCAGCCAAGUAGCGUGCAGGAAGACGGCCCUAUGGGUUGUAAACUGCUUUUAUAAGGGAAUAAAGUGGGUCACGUGUGACUUUUUGCAUGUACCUUAUGAAUAAGGACCGGCUAAUUCCGUG